rnacentral:rRNA from 1 species
CCUACGGGCGGCAGCAGUGGGGAAUAUUGCACAAUGGGGGAAACCCUGAUGCAGCGACGCCGCGUGAGUGAAGAAGUAUCUCGGUACGUAAAGCUCUAUCAGCAGGGAAGAAAGAAAUGACGGUACCUGACUAAGAAGCCCCGGCUAACUACGUGCCAGCAGCCGCGGUAAUACGUAGGGGGCAAGCGUUAUCCGGAUUUACUGGGUGUAAAGGGAGCGUAGACGGCGAUGCAAGUCUGAAGUGAAAGGCGGGGGCCCAACCCCCGGACUGCUUUUGAAACUGUAUGGCUGGAGUGCAGGGGAGGUAAGUGGAAUUCGUAGUGUAGCGGUGAAAUGCGUAGAUAUUAGGAGGAACACCAGUGGCGAAGGCGGCUUACUGGACUGUAACUGACGUUGAGGCUCGAAAGCGUGGGGAGCAAACAGGAUUAGAUACCCUAGUAGUC